rnacentral:lncRNA from 1 species
CCUUGAAGCUCAUCCUUGUUUACACAAGGGAUUCACCCAAGUGGAGGGCCUUCAAGUCACCUACUAGCUCCUUGGAUCUUCCUUGUGAUUUCCUUCCUUUACGCUCCUUUGCUCCUUGAGGAUGUGAAGAAAUGAUCUCCAAAAACACCAAAGAUUUGGUGUCUCUAAGUCUCCACACCAAGGAUGAGGUGUGAAGAUAAAAUGGAUGACUUAGAGAAGAAAAGAUUGCUAGCUAAAUCCUCUCUAAGUGGCCGGCCUCCUUGUAGAGAAAAAGAGAGAAAGUGUUUCACCUCUUUGCCUCAAGAAAAUCGUAAUGAGAAAAUAGCUAUAAAGUUAACUUUAUACUACAUCACAUUUGAGUGGCAAACUUGUAAUUAAUUCAAGUUUGCAUCCACUCUCCCUUAUGGCCGGCCUUGUCUUUGUUAUUGGGCAAAUUGCCCAUUUUGUUUUAGUUGUCAUACAACUUAAACAUAAUGGGCUUUGUGGACCAAAACACUUUUGGGCCCCGAAACCCAAAACCAACUUAAAAGCCCAAUACGAACCUUUCGUAAAAUUAAUUAACUAAUUAAUUAAUCUUCACCAUUUUCAAUUAAACCAUUUAAUUGCAUAUCCAUUUCAUUUAUAUUUCUUCACUUUCUUCCUUACUCAGUGUACGUCCAUUAGGUGUUGGAAAUGUGCCCUAAAACCAAUCAUAUGAUGAUACUUUACUGACAUUUCACAAGUUAAACUAAUGUAGUUUAAAUAUAAAGGGCAAAAGGUUAUUGUUUGAGUCCUCUCAUAUACAUGUUAUAUGCUUAAACGAUAAGUCCAAGGAAUAUGUGAUUGGGAGAAUGCAAUCUAAAGAAGUUAGAUUCAUGAGACCAUUCUUUUGUAUACAUAUCCUAAACGUUCCUGAUCAUAGGAUUGCCAACUGGGCAUUGACAGUCCGUUAAGAUCAGUACGUGCUGUGUCUUCUCUCAGGGAGAAUGACUAGUCUCGAGUCAUUGGUGUGUGUGACAUCAAGACAAGUAUGUAGGUGCUCAAUAGAGAAUGAGUUCACCGAACACGAUGAACGAAGAGUUCUCAUAUUCAUGUCACAUGAGAACUCAUGGUUGGGAUAAUGCAAAGUAGUCCUUUGACCUGAGGCAUCAUAGUUGUCUUGUGGUUAAGUCCUUGAUCUUUGAUUAUGUCAAAGUCACUCCAUUCGAGGGUGUCCACGGCAUAGUUGGUUAAGCCACUUAGCCAUGGAGGCAAGUGAAUGCGCAACAAGGGAUCUCUAACCUUCAAACCGUUUGAGAGAGAAUACUCUAUGAUAUAAUUAAGAAUCUCUGGCCAGAGUAUGAAUGAGAUUUAGGAAGUCAUUCCAAAUCACAUUCAAGGUAAUCAUAUAAGCACACGAAUCACAUUGGAUAGUAGACAUGAAUAAACUAUCAAACCAAACAAUGUGGUCAAAAGUAUUGUAUUAGAGAAAUACCGUAUUGCAUUUGUAAUCCUAAAUUGAAUAGGUUCUCCACCUCUUCUGAUUAGCUUGGGUAACCAUGAUAUGCUGCUAGGUGUCACUCAUGGUUUGUGGAAGCCCUAAACGUGUAUAAUCACUAAAGGGAGAAUUGAAAGUAAGUUUCAAUUCACAAUCGAUUUGAAAUGGUUUUAAUCGCCCACUGCCUCGCUAAAAGGGGCCUAAUGGAUCGUACACCGUGUAAGGUGGAGAUUGAAGAAACAAUGGAGAUGAGUAAGAAUAAUUAAAUGGUUUAAUUAUUUUUGGCAAGGAUUAAUUAAUAUGUUAAUUAAUCAAACGAAUAAGUUCGUUGAAGACCUCGGGAUAGUUUUGGACCUUAAGGCCCAAUGGGCUUCGAACGUCAAAGCCCAUGGACUUAAGUUGUAUGACAACUUAAUGAAUAAAGAUUCACAAGGGCCCAAAAUCCCAAAUCCCUCAAUUGGCCAGCCAUGUUACAAGAAUGGCUUUUUGGUUCUUUAGGUCACUUAUUUGAAGGGACUAUAUAAAGGACUUUAUAGCCUAAAUUCAUUAAAGGUUUUCUUUUGGAGAAAAUUGGAGAGAACAUGUCUCUCCCUUUCUCUCUAAAGAGGCCGGCCCCCUUGGAGGGAUUAGCUAGUAAUCUUUCUCCUCCAAGGUCACUCAUUUCUUCAUCAAUCUUACCUUGGUGUGGAGACUUAGAGGUUCUCAAUUUUUGGGAACUUGGAGAACCAUUUCAUCCAUCCAAAUCCAUAGAUCUAAGAUGCAAGGAAUGAAGGCCCUCUCUUUAGGUGAUUAGCCUUUGCAGAUGCAAAGAGGAAUCUACAAAGGUAUAAUUUCUCAACUCUUUUUUAUUUGAGUUGAGUCUUGGUUCACCAAUCUACUAGGCUUUGAAUUUCAUGGUUAAUGUUUUGUUUUUAAGUGCAUGCAAGCAUGAUUCCGCCUUUAAUUGUUAAUUGCAUGCUUAUAGAUGUUGCUUAAAUGAACAAGUUUUUCACAAAAUUUCCUUCAAGUGGUAUCAGAGCCUAGGUCUAGUAGUUGAUGAAUCCUUUUGGGUUUUGUAGUUCAUAGUUUUGAUUUAAAUGUUGUAAUAUGUUACAAGCUUUAUUCUUGUUUCUUUGAAUGUAAAUUUUUGUUAGAAAAUUUGCCAUCUCAAAUGCUAUAGAUGUAGUUCAUAUGAGCAUGAAUAUUGGAGCUAAAAUUUGGUGCCAUGUUUUUUGGAAUUUUCGGCCAAAUCCAAAGGGUGGAUUUUUGGGUUCUUGUUUGACUUGUUAAAAGUGUUUUCAAGUAACUUUUGGAACCCCUAUGUACCCUAGUUUGGUUAUAUGUUAUUUCCCUAAAGUUUGAAUGGUUUUGGGAUGUUUUUGGAGUAAAAAUGUUCAUGGAAAUUUUUUGGGUUUUUCAUGAAUGUUCUUCAUUGUUCUUGACAUUUUUGCCAAGAACAAAAAGUUUUGUGUUUUGAUUUAUUUCAUAAAGUUUAUGUUUUUCAAAUGUUUAAAUGUAUUAGAUAUUUGUUUAGAAAGGUGGUAGAAUUAUUGGUGGGUGUGUAAGGAUUAAUUCCCUUUCACACACACCACUUGCACCACUUGCAUGCUUUAUGUCAAAACUCACAAAUCAACACACACAUCACUCCUUUCCCUCUCCAAAACCGGCCACCCUUAAUGGGAGUACUUUUGGGGCUUUUAUGCAAUUACAUAAAGUUUUGAUACUUUUGUGUAUUUGCACUUUGGCCCAAAAGUUUACGUUUUUACGUUUAGUUCCAAAAACGCUAAAGGACAAAUUGUUUUUCUCCUUUAAUGAAGUUUUUGCAUUGUUUAAAUUUUGGGUUCUAGUUGUAAUUACAUGAAGUAGUGGACUUUUGUGUUUUUACAAAGUGACCCCAAAAGUUUAUGUUUUUGCAAUAUAGCCCAAAGGUUGUGGUAAUUGCAUAUUGGCCCAAAUUAGGAUGAGAACAAAAUGGUUUUGUCUCUUUAAAUGAGAAUUGGAUUUUCAUUUCAUUUAGCUCCAUUUAAAUCAAUUUUAUGGAUACAAAAAACCAAAUGAAAAUGUUGCAUUCAAUUUAAUUAGUUAAAGCGUUAAUUAAUUAAAGGGUGAUUAUGAACCUAAGCCUACGAUAAUUGAGCUAUGUGAAAGGCCGUUUCAAAUUUGUUUGAACCAUGGGAAUGUGUAGAUUAGAUUUUGGUUGUAAUUUGAUUUGAUCAAAUGUUGUAAAAGAGCUUAAGCUCUUCUUUACUUUAAAGUAAUUUGAAUCAUUCAAAUGUUGUAAAGAGUAUAAGCUCAUCUUUACUUUGAAGUACUUCUUUCUUGCUUUAUUUGAUAUGCAUGAAAUUGAAGUAGUUGGGUCCAACGCCCCUAAGACAACACGCCUUAAUGUGAUUAAACGCGUAACUAAAAUCAAUCACCAUCCCUAGACCGAGAUUCAACACUAGGCUCGUGUUGAAUCUAAACAAAGGUUCAUAGUCAUCCUAAGGCCCUAAGGCAACUAUAUAGUCCAUCAAAUGAAUGCAAAGUUUAUGUUAGUAGUAUCAUAUACUCUUGCUUUAAAAACCGUUUUAUAAGCAUAGUGGGAGUAUUAUAUACAACUAAAACAAUCAAAUGGACCAAUAGUUGUAAUAGGACCAAAAUUGUUUUAAUAAGAUUAAAAUGUAUGUUUAUAUAUGAUGAGACCUAAACCCCUCAACCAAACCAUUAUUAAGUUGACAAGCGUGAGAGUGCUUUGAACACUCUUUUGUGGCCUUCCACCGUGGUAGGCUCCAAUCGUUUAUGACUUGUACACCGCCUUCACCCUAUCAUGGGGGAGUGCAAAGUGCAUGCUUAUACUCAAGAGGAGUCUAUAUGCAUACUUGAUGUUGUGAAGCGUAGGCAACGAGAAUGAUCAACAUCAUAUCAUUGUGAGGUUGUUCUUGAACCUCUACCCGAACUUGCAUGGUGGGAAUGACUUAACUAAGUGCAAUGGAGCCAACAUCAUAUCAUUGUGAGGUGACAUUCUCUAGAGGCCAAAUAAGAUGGGUAAUCACAAGAGGUUGUUGUGAAUGAGUAAGCAUACUCUCUCAUUAUUAUUAAUGCUAGCCAACAUCAUAUCAUUGUGAGAUGGGCUUGGUAGUAGUGAGUCUCCCAUACCCUACUAAGAGUUUCCUCCAAAACUCUCGAAUUCCAAUGAGGGAUAUGGAAUUUGCCAAAAAUAGUGGGUGGUGCUAUUUGAUUUAAAGACCCGAAUCAAAUGGCUUAAAAUCAAUCAAUUUAUAUUCGUUAUGUAUUUGUUUACCAAUAUAUUUGCAAACGUUAUCCAAAACUUGACAAAGAAAAGCCGAAUGCUUUAGUUUUCCGGACUUGGUACCACAAUCCCAAAGAUUGUCUUAAAUGGAUUAUAUAUGUACCUAAGUAGUCUCAUCCUCACAAUCUUCCUAUUGAUAAUGUACCAUUGGAAGAAAAUGUUAGAUAAGUCUAUCAUAAGGAGGACAACACUUUUAAUGUGCUGUGUCUUCUCUCAGGGAGAGUGACUAGUCUCGAGUCAUUGGUGUGUGUGACAUCAAGACAAGUACGUAGGUGCUUAAUAGAGAAUGAGUUCACUGAACCCGAUCAACGAAGUGUUCUCAUAUUCAUGUCACGUGAGAACUCAUGGUUGGGAUAAUGAAAAGUAGUCCUUUAACCUGAGGCAUCAUAGAUGUCUUGUGGUUAAGUCCUUGAUCUUUGAUUAUGUCAAAGUCACUCCAUUCGAGGGUGUCCACGGCAUAGUUGGGGUUAAGCCACUUAGCCAUGGAGGCAAGUGAAUGCGCAAAAAGGGAUCUCUAACCUUCAAACCGCUUAAGGGAGAAUACUCUAUGAUUAAGAAUCUCUGGCCAGAGUAUGAAUGAGAUUUAGGAAGUCGUUCCAAAUCAUAUUCAAGGUAAUCAUAUAAGCACACGAAUCACAUUGGAUAGUAGACAUGAAUAAACUAUCAAACCAAACAAUGUGGUCAAGAGUAUUGUAUUAGAGAAAUACCGUAUUGCAUUUAUAAUCCUAAACUGAAUAGGUUCUCCACGUCUUCUGAUUAGCUUGGGUAACCAUGAUAUGCUGCUAGGUGUCACUCAAGGUUUGUGGAAGCCCUAAACGUGUAUAAUCACUAAAGGGAGAAUUGAAAGUAAGUUUCAAUUCACAAUCGAUUUGAAAUGGUUUUAAUCGCCCACUGCCUCGCUAAAAGGGACCUAAUGGAU